UACGGGGGGGGCAAGCGUUGUUCGGAAUUACUGGGCGUAAAGGGCUCGUAGGCGGCCAACUAAGUCAGACGUGAAAUCCCUCGGCUUAACCGGGGAACUGCGUCUGAUACUGGAUGGCUUGAAUCCGGGAGAGGGAUGCGGAAUUCCAGGUGUAGCGGUGAAAUGCGUAGAGAUUUGGAGGAACACCAGUGGCGAAGGCGACUUUCUGGUCUGUAACUGACGCUGAGGCGCGAAAGCGUGGGGAGCAAACAGG
rnacentral:rRNA from 1 species